UCCCGCUCUCCAGCCCAGCCCAGCAGGAGGAGGGUGACGGGAUGACCACAAGGGGCCAUGCCAUACCCUAGCGUCACUUCUCCCUGCAGUCAGCUCUCAGCUGCAGCCCCUCCAAACCACCCAAGCACACACACAAAUGGGACACUGAUGCCAAGGAGCUAGACUCAGGUCCCAGUCAGAAAGCCUGCUUAUCCAAGGUGUGUCCGAGUCUCUGGGAUCUCCGAAGCCUCACUGGCAGGCGUGUCUCAGCAUCCUUUUCUCUUGUAGACAGCAGGAAGCCCACAAGGGCCUCUUCUCUGACUCACUCCUUUAAUGAUCUCGCCUCUUUUUUCUUUUCUUUUCUUUUUUUUUUCUUUUUGAUGCAGGGUGUGGCUUUGUCGCCCAGGCUGGAGAGCAGUGGUGCAAUCACAGCUCACUGCAGCCUCAACUUCCCAGGCUCCAGCGAUCCUCCCACCUCAGCCUUCCGAGUAGCUGGGAUCACAGGUGCGCACCACCAUGCCUGGCUUUUUUUUUUUUUUUUUUUUUGGUAGAGAGGGGGUUUCACUGUAUUUGUAUUGCCCAAGCUGGUCUUGAACUCCUGGGCUCAAGCGAUCCUCCUGCCUCAGCCUCCCAAAGCGCUGGGAUUACAGGCAUGAGUGACAGCACCUGGCCUCAUUCAGUGUCUUGACUUUAAGUGCCUCCAUAUGCCAGCAACUCCCUCAUCUCCCUGCAGCUUGGGUUUCUUACCAUCUCAUUCAGCUCUCUCCAUGGGUGCCUGGGUGUCUCAAAUCAAACUCACCCUGCUCCAGACUCCUGACAUGC
rnacentral:lncRNA from 1 species